CAGUGGGCGAGCCAAGGUCUCCUCCCUCGGGAGACUCUCGGACCUAGUGCAGGGAAAAGACACGAACAAGACCCCAAAGAUCUACGUGUAGGGAAGACUCCAAUAUAGAAUUGAGCAGUCCGGAGGAGGAAAAGUUAAUUCUGCCAGGAUUAGGCUUAUUUUCUCUUUCUUGAAAUCCCUGAUUUGUGAAUCACUUCUACCAUCUCUCUAUACCCACUGUGGAUGCUGCUCACUCCUCUUGCCCCUCAAGCUUCCUCCUACCCAGCUGUAUGCCCACUGGCAGGCAUCCUGUCUUGUUAACUGGAACUCUCUGCUGCCAGAGGAGCCAUCUCUAGAGGCACAAUGGGACUAGGCAGCUGCCAGUUGCUAUCACUCUACCACCCGGUCUAAAGCUCUCAGAGACAAGAUCUUGCUAUGUUGCCCAGGCUGGUCUCAAACUUGUGGCCUCAAGUUUCACAUAUGGGGGCAUUUUGGAUUUCCAACAUUCUGAUCAGGG